GAGCCCUACGGGGCGCAGCAGUGGGGAAUAUUGCACAAUGGGGGAAACCCUGAUGCAGCAACGCCGCGUGAGUGAUGACGGCCUUCGGGUUGUAAAGCUCUGUCUUCAGGGACGAUAAUGGCGGUACCUGAGGAGGAAGCCACGGCUAACUACGUGCCAGCAGCCGCGGGAAUACGUAGGUGGCGAGCGUUGUCCGGGUUUACUGGGCGUAAAGGGAGCGUAGGCGGGCUUUUAAGUGAGAUGUGAAAUACUCGGGCUCAACUUGAG
rnacentral:rRNA from 1 species